rnacentral:lncRNA from 1 species
AACAAUCCUGAGAGAACAUUAUUGGUCAUAACAGUAAGAAUGUUUGUGGGUAAAGAGGACAUUGUAACCAUUGGUUCCAGGAGUUGAAGAUUGCCACCUGUCCUUCAGAGAGCCCCCGGGCUCUUCCCCCUCCCUUGGAGCCUCCUCUUGCUUAUGCUUAUAUUGCCACUCCUGAAGAAAGUUUUUCAGAGCUUGAUCACUAUGACUGACUUGCUCUCAUUCAUUCUUGUCUCUUGUCCCUCCCGCUCCCUCUCUCUCUCUCUCUCUCUCUCUCUCCUGCCCUGGGUCCCCAGUGAUUAUCCCUGCAGGUUGGGACAAACUGGCGCCCAGCGUGUGCCUCUGGGUUUGGGGUCUGAGAGAGAUCACUCUUCGAAUUGGGCCACUGCUUUAUCAAAAAUGAGUAAAGGUUUGCACUGGACCUUCACUAGUCAGGUGGUGAGUGAAGGUACACACAGGGUUGCUGCUUCAUUAGGAAGUGAGUAAAGACCCACACAGAGACUGCCACAGUGUCACCCACACUGUGAGACAGAUUCCAGAAAGGUACAAAGAGGGGCUAGACUAUGGGACAAGCAUUAAGUAAGCAUGAAUGGUUUUUAAAGGGAUCUCAAGGAAUCCUUCAAGACAAGAGGAAUAGGGUUAAGAAAAAUUCUUCAUAGCCAAGAGCUGCUCCAGAUGAGAGGAAUAGGGUUUAAAAUAAAAUAAAAUUUAAUAAAAUAAAAUAAAUAAAAAGGGUAAAAAAAAACUACAAAAACAAAAUAACAGAUGUUAGAAAAAUUCUUAACUCAAGUACAUGUAUGUUGUUCUUAAUUCCCAGAAGUAGGAAUGGUAAAUAUAUAAAUGAAAUAAUUUGACAAGUUGAGGAGUAAUUAAGAAAGUUAGAAAAGCAGGGCAGUGGAGGACAAUUAUCGGAAGCUACCACUGUGCCUCCUCUCCCUUCUCUGUCAGAAUUCCCACAAGGAGAUAAAGACUUUGAACAUGAGAGAGAGAGAAAUAGGUUUCAGAAAAGCAGUUAUCCCCUGUUUGGGACCUUUUAGCAAAAGAGAAAGAAAAUAGAAAUAAGGUAUUUCAGAGCUCUCCUAGGGACAGGAGGAAAUUGGGAGAUGCCCUGCUUCCUCUGGCUCCUAUGGAGAUAUUCUCAGUACUGGUUAGGAUAUCUGGGUCCUUUUGAGAUAUCAAGUUUUAUUCUCUCUCUGUCUAUUGUCUGUCCUUGGUGCACCAAUUUGUCCAUAUGUCUGUCAAUUUAUGUUUGUUUUUGUUUUGUUGUUUGAAUGAUUGUUGUUUUGUAUUUCAUGUUGAAAAAAGUGGUUAAAACUUUAUCUGCUGGCUGUUCAUCCUUUGAUUUAGUUUAACUUAUUUAAAAGGCUGUCUCAAUUUGCACAGCAGAAACUGAUUAGUUACACUGCACCAUGGCUGGGAGUCAGGUACAGCUGGGAAAAGCCAUGCUGGAAGCUGAUUGUCUACACAAGCAGCUCUUAAAGGGGCCAACAGCCUUUUGCUUUUAAGAGAACAUUAGCUUAAAAUUGGUAACUAAGGGUUAGAGUCAUUCUAAACAACAUGUAGCAUGAGCCAACCCAGGAAAACAGGUCUUUACAAUACUUCUAAAUUGGGAUAAUAUUUUUUGUAAUUAUUAUUCCAGAAACUAGACUUAUAAAGAAUAAGAGUUAAAACACGCACGGAAACCACUGAGAGUGGAAGAGAGAUGUCACCAGUGGACCGAAGCCAGGACAGCUCCUGCAAGUCUUUGUAAUUUCAUUUUAUACUUUAAAACCAUAAGUUGGGGUGGGCA